rnacentral:snoRNA from 1 species
UUCAAAUGAUGAUCACCCACACCUUGGUUUCGCUUAAAAAAAUAUCUGAUUUUAAUUAGAUGAUUAAACCAUUUUUCUCUUGGCUGUCUGAUGAA